GACAGUGAAAGCAGUUGGCUGGCAAUUACACAGAGCUGCACUGACUUCUGGGAGUUGUAGUCUGUGCUGUAAGCAACAAAAAAGAAUAUUAAGGAGACAUCAGGGGCAAAAGGAGCUGCCAAAACCACAUGAAUAACUACAGUGAACAUAGAACAGUAGUGGUUCUUAACCACACAGUUGUUGCCUAUGUGUGAAACGUAGCAUCUGCUGCUCCGCAAAAUGAAAUGGAAAUAUCUGAAUCGGUCAAUGUGGAUUCUACAAUCAAAUAACCUGUAAAUUAGUCUGAUGGCGGCCAGAAAGCUACUAUAAGGAAACAUCCGCAUAUCCUGUGAAUACAUCGGAUUCGGUGGACUUUGUUGAUGACCAGUGUUUUUUUUUUUCUUUUUCAAUAAAAUAUUUAACGAGGGCUUGUGGGGGAGAGGUUUUCGUAAUAAAAUUUUUAUUUACCAGGGUAAUAGUUGGGGAUCACCGCUAACUGUUUUUUGGGCAAACAUUAAGCCCCGGCUUUGUAAUCGACUCCAUGUAUAAGACGGCUUCCACUACUAGACCUGAAAAAUAAAUUUA